AGACGUGUGUUCUUCGGUUGUAGCUGGCUAUGCUGAAAACUCCAUCACAGAGUGCAGAGUGUGCCCAUGUUUCCGUGACUGUGAUGAAAUCUGGGUUGAUACUUUUGACAUAGGAGUCAAAAAGAUGCACCUUGUUGCAUAAACUACGGGCAUUCAAGGACAGCAGUUUAUAUCUGGAUUUCAGAUGAUGAUAUACAGGGGAUGGCUGAUUGUUCUUGGUUAGUUUCCCAAGAUUUUUGUAUUGCCAGUUGUUGUGGGUGUAGUCUGCUCAGUCCAACUGGCAUCCCUUAUCCACGACUCACCAGACUUGACAAA